rnacentral:rRNA from 1 species
CGGACGGGUGAGUAAUGUCUGGGAAACUGCCUGAUGGAGGGGGAUAACUACUGGAAACGGUAGCUAAUACCGCAUAACGUCGCAAGACCAAAGAGGGGGACCUUAGGGCCUCUUGCCAUCGGAUGUGCCCAGAUGGGAUUAGCUAGUUGGUGAGGUAACGGCUCACCAAGGCCACGAUGCAUAGCCGACCUGAGAGGGUGAUCGGCCACACUGGGACUGAGACACGGUCCAG